AUAAUGAGACUUCAGUCGAGAGACUGCUUGGCGAGAACCGCGGAGGGGUUAGAUUCCCAUG
rnacentral:ncRNA from 1 species